UGGGGAAUAUUGCACAAUGGGCGAAAGCCUGAUGCAGCGACGCCGCGUGCGGGAUGAAGGCCUUCGGGUUGUAAACCGCUUUUAAUUGGGAGCAAGCGAGAGUGAGUGUACCUUUUGAAUAAGCACCGGCUAACUACGUGCCAGCAGCCGCGGUAAUACGUAGGGUGCAAGCGUUAUCCGGAAUUAUUGGGCGUAAAGAGCUCGUAGGCGGUUUGUCACGCCUGGUGUGAAAGUCCAUCGCUUAACGGUGGAUCUGCGCCGGGUACGGGCAGGCUAGAGUGCAGUAGGGGAGAUUGGAAUUCCCGGUGUAACGGUGGAAUGUGUAGAUAUCGGGAAGAACACCAAUGGCGAAGGCAGAUCUCUGGGCUGUUACUGACGCUGAGGAGCGAAAGCAUGGGGAGCGAACAGGAUUAGAUACCCGUGGUAGUCCAUGCCGUAAACGGUGGAUGCUGGAUGUGGGACCCUUCCACGGGUUCCGUGUCGGAGCUAACGCGUUAAGCAUCCCUGCCUGGGGAGUACGGCCGCAAGGCU
rnacentral:rRNA from 1 species